rnacentral:tmRNA from 1 species
GGGGAUGCAAUGGUUUCGACGGGGGCGUCGAGAUGUGAACAGCGGGCGGAUGCGCCCACCAUCCGAAAAAUGGGCGUCUUUAUAAAUUAAAGAACAACAACGAAUAUCUUCCGGUAGCCGCUUAGGCUACCCGUCCUGACCGAUAGUUCCACGGAUCGUUCAAGGGCGUCACUUUAGUGGAGAACGUGAGUGCGCUGAGCUUGGAUGCGCGCCAUGAAUAAAAAGCUACCGAGUCGCGCCGCGUGACGGUUUGCGCCGCGACAAGGGAACGGGUCUUCGGCGUCUGACGCCGAAAGCGCCGAAAUAACCGUCUGCGCCCGGAGAAAUUUGCAUUGAAGCGCUUUCGGACGCGGGUUCGAUUCCCGCCAUCUCCACCA